CCACAACGCAGAGUACUAACCUCUAUACGAUCACGGCUGCUUGAAACGAGGAAGAGACAGUCGUGUGAGGAUGAAGCAAGAGAAACGUGACAAAAAGAUGAAGAAACAGAACCAAAAGACGAAAAAGAAGUCACGAGGGAAAAUAUGAAAGGAAAUGCUUUCAUUAAUAACGGGUUGCACUGAUGUCAAAGUGUGACAGCAGUCCUGGAGAAAGUCCUGGAGAGACUCAUCCUGUCUCAGCUGAGAAACCUUGGUGGCCCCCGUCUAGGACCUUGGGGGUCUACCUGGGAGGACGGGACACCAUCGGCUCCUUUCUGACCUCAGCUUCCCUAAAUGUUUGACUUAAAUCAGUCAUGUGACUGGAAGCACGACUCUGAAUGAGUGCUUAUGUUUUGUGUUAAUGUGUUAACAUAACAACAGUAUAAGUUGUCAGACAAUUAUUUAAGUCAAAAUAAAUGUAAGUUAUUAAACUCCAGCAUUUAUUUUCCUGCCAUGUGAGAACACCGGUCAUGUAAAGUUGCCACCAGUAUAUUCAGACCAUUGCUGCCACCCUGUGGCUGUAGCUGGUAAAUGCAGUCAAAAUGAUUAAAAAUAUUGAGAAGGGAAUCAAACUCAGUACACAAACCAAUUUUCAGUUCAAAUUAGAAAGCGAUUUGUUUUAACAAGCCAUUAAUGGCGGUGAAGUAGAGAAAAAAGUCUCGGGUAGUAAUGACUGUGUCUGAUCAGUGCAGAUAUGGAUUUGAACUGUAAAUGGAAGCUCUUAUAGAACUGAGUCAGAUGUGAUUUUAUUUGUGAUUCUCUCACUACAGAAAGAGUGAAUUCAGCUGCAAACUGUUAUCAUGUAAGAACUGCGUUGCAUUUGUAUAUUUUAUUUUAAAAAUAAGUUAUUAUUAUUAGCUUGUAUGGUUUUAUUUAAAAGAUUAUUAGCGAGGCAGGCAUUCAUUGGUGAAAGGAGAGGACAUGCCCAGACUGGACUCAAAUCCAAGUCGCUGCAUUACUGCAGUCUCCAUUUAUGGUGUUACUUGCAGAGAUCUUGUAUUUCUUUUGUUUAAUUCCUGGAUACUUGUUUAUGUGUACAUUACCGCAGAUGUACAGCAUGUAUAUGGUUCCUUCAGUCACGCCAUCCUUUCAUCAUACAUUGUAAACUAAAACAUGUUGAUAUAUACAACUAUGUUUUGCAUUUCAUCCUUAUUUAGUACACAAAAGGUCGUUGGUAAUAAAGGGAAACUAUAUGUCUGCCAUCUAGUGGACAAACUGCUGCUCUACAAUAUCUGCCCAACAUAAUAACUAAUAACAUAAUUACCCAAGUCAUUUUUCUCAUAUUUAUGUUAUAAUAUCAAUAAAAAAACACCUAUGUGCCUGCUAAAAAUUGUGUUUUCUGAAAACCUUCACAUAUGACCUGUGGAUAUCAUAUUAUUAGGCUAAUAUUUGUCUUGGGUUUUUCUGCAUAAUUUAGAUCAAUAUAAAUUUGCUAUUUAUUUUGAUCCCAGGCCAUUUAUCCCAGUAAAAAAAUAUAAAAGAAUACCACCAAUCUUUAUUCAUUUUAAGGACACAGUCCCAUAAACGAAAGUGAGUAAUCAAGACCGCAUAAUCAAAAUAAGGGUACUGUAUUUGAAAACCAGAUAACAGUUUUUGUUUAAUCAUUAUUUGAUUUAAAGGUGAACACCAUCAACAUCACGACAGCUGAAAUCAACAAACCCAUGCUGAGCCAAACAAUGCAUCUGUUAACGUAAGUGCUCAUUGUAUUGCUAAGGCUAAAUAA